ACCCGACUGAUGAAUCCCAAAUAGGUCGAAACGCGCGUCCUGUAU
rnacentral:hammerhead_ribozyme from 1 species